rnacentral:rRNA from 1 species
UUUGCUCACACUCUAGCCUGUUCAAAGGCGAAUCCUAACAAAGUCAGCAAGCUGUCGUCACCAGGAUACCAAAGAGAAGCCAGGUGGAACAGCCCUAAAGGUAUUCGUUGCAAUCCUCAAUCCCGAACACCACAUUCCGCUAAAGGUUAUAACACUCCCGAAGGAGCCACAUCCCUCCAGCCUUUUUAUGACGUUCGAAAUUGAUGUUAACCAGCGGACACGAAAGUGCUCCCCCUCAUCGUGAGGUCACACGCCGUGGCGGUUUUGAGGCUCGCCACAACAUGUGACC